UGUGUUGGACUGUAGGUAGAACUUGUAAACCUCAACAUGAAAGUGACUUUGUUCGUAACGCGGAUAAAUUUAAAUUCAGUACUUUAAGUGAAAAUGGGGCUGUGCAUAAUUCCAAUUGUUUCGGAUACGUAAAAUAUGUUAAAAAAUGAUCUGGUAGGAUACUGUAGAAUUUAUUUUUAAAAUGAAGGCUGCAGAAUUAUCCGAAGAGGUUUCUCCAGAUGAAUGUUCUGCUAUCAUUCGUAUUGCGAUGAGUCCCAAAGGACUUUAAGUAAAUGAAAUACAGGAAGGAAAUUUUUCUGACUCUAAGCGACUUCUGACAAUCGACAUCUGAGAUACACAAAGCGAUGGCUAGCCGCAGAAGUUAUUUUAUCGGUCAAUAUACUAUCAGCUGUUGUUCAAACUAUCACAAAAUGAAUUGAAACCACCGUUUUUAAAAUGUUCCAUAACUUUUGAAAACAAUUAUGCGAUGGAUUUAGAGGUAAGUAAUUUGAUAGUUUCAUCUGGUCACCCUGCUUAGGAAUACCUACGAAAACGAGAAAUUCUACCCUAUCUUAAUUUAGCUUGGCUAGAUGGCGUAGAGCACGACCUCAAAGCUAUCGGUGUCAGGAAAUGGAAGGAGAAAGCCCUGAAAAGAGCAGUCUGAAGAGACAUACCAGGCUAAGGCCCACCCUGGGCUGUAAGGCCUAAUAUGAUAAUUAAUAUAACUUAUAUUCGUAGCGUAUCAUAAAACUUAUGUAACAUAAAACUAACGAAGUAGACAUUCGAGGACGGAAAUAAGCAAGCAAUAUAAAUGUUCAAAUGUAUUUUUAUUAUUAAGGUCAAACUCAUCAAUAUUUUAUAAGGAACUGGUUUACUAAUUUGAGAAAUGUUUUAGGAUCCUCUGCAUGCACGUUGUGACCUACGUUGGGAAUAUAUUUUAAUUCAGCUUUGGGAAAAAAAAUUCUUAUGCCCUUUAUAUCUUCUGGCCUAGAAAAGAGCACCAGAAAUAAUUAGUGCGCGUAGAAUAAUAUAAAAACAAAAGAAACGCAACUCUGUAAUCAUAAUCUGAAAAGUAUGCUUGACCUUUAAGAUGCCUUUUUAAAUUCUGGGAGAUAUAUUACAAAAUGGAAAUUAGGUACAUACUUAUUUGUGUGUAUGUAAACAAUUUCCAUUAUGAAGGUCAUAUGUUAAAUUAUAACAAUAAAAAAAUAUAAAUAUGCAAAGAUUAAA